UUGGAUCCAGACUUUGAUCCUGGCUCAGGAUAAACGCUGGCGGCGCACAUAAGACAUGCAAGUCGAACGGAAGUCGUUAUAUUUGAUUCUGAUUGAAAGAUUUAUCCGGAUUGAAGAUGAUUUUAUAACAAUGGCUUUAGUGGCGGACUGGUGAGUAACGCGUAAGCAAUCUGCCUAUUAGAGGGGAAUAACAGUGAGAAAUCAUUGCUAAUACCGCAUAUGCCAUGAAUAUCGCAUGAUAAAAAUGGGAAAGGAGUAAUCCGCUAAUAGAUGAGCUUGCGUCUGAUUAGCUAGUUGGUGGGGUAACGGCCUACCAAGGUAACGAUCAGUAGCCGGACUGAGAGGUUGAACGGCCACAUUGGGACUGAGAUACGGCCCAGACUCCUACGGGAGGCAGCAGUCGGGAAUAUUGCGCAAUGGAGGAAACUCUGACGCAGUGACGCCGCGUAUAGGAUGAAGGUUUUCGGAUUGUAAACUAUUGUCGUUAGGGAAGAUAAAAGACAGUACCUAAGGAGGAAGCUCCGGCUAACUACGUGCCAGCAGCCGCGGUAAUACGUAGGGAGCAAGCGUUAUCCGGAUUUAUUGGGUGUAAAGGGUGCGUAGACGGGAAAUUAAGUUAGUUGUGAAAUCCCUCGGCUCAACUGAGGAACUGCAACUAAAACUGGUUUUCUUGAGUGCAGGAGAGGAAAGAGGAAUUCCUAGUGUAGCGGUGAAAUGCGUAGAUAUUAGGAGGAACACCAGUGGCGAAGGCGUCUUUCUGGACUGUAACUGACGUUGAGGCACGAAAGUGUGGGGAGCAAACAGGAUUAGAUACCCUGGUAGUCCACACCGUAAACGAUGGAUACUAGGUGUAGGAUGUGUUAAACAUUCUGUGCCGUCGCUAACGCAGUAAGUAUCCCACCUGGGGAGUACGGCCGCAAGGUUGCAACUCAAAGGAAUUGACGGA
rnacentral:rRNA from 1 species